rnacentral:piRNA from 1 species
UAGUUGAAAAUCACAUCUGUAAUACUUCUA